UACGUAGGCAGCAAGCGUUGUUCGGAGUUACUGGGCGUAAAGAGCUUGUAGGCGGUUUGUCGCGUCUGCUGUGAAAAUCCGGGGCUCAACCCCGGACUUGCAGUGGGUACGGGCAGACUAGAGUGUGGUAGGGGAGACUGGAAUUCCUGGUGUAGCGGUGAAAUGCGCAGAUAUCAGGAGGAACACCGAUGGCGAAGGCAGGUCUCUGGGCCACUACUGACGCUGAGAAGCGAAAGCAUGGGGAGCGAACAGG
rnacentral:rRNA from 1 species